rnacentral:rRNA from 1 species
UGGGGAAUCUUGGACAAUGGGGGCAACCCUGAUCCAGCCAUGCCGCGUGAGUGAAGAAGGUCUUCGGAUUGUAAAGCUCUUUUGCCAGGGACGAUAAUGACGGUACCUGGAGAAUAAGCCCCGGCAAACUUCGUGCCAGCAGCCGCGGUAAUACGAAGGGGGCUAGCGUUGUUCGGAAUUACUGGGCGUAAAGCGCACGUAGGCGGGUGGUUAAGUCAGGGGUGAAAUCCCGGAGCUCAACUCCGGAACUGCCUUUGAUACUGGCCAUCUAGAGAUCGGAAGAGGUGAGUGGAAUUCCCAGUGUAGAGGUGAAAUUCGUAGAUAUUGGGAAGAACACCAGUGGCGAAGGCGGCUCACUGGUCCGAUACUGACGCUGAGGUGCGAAAGCGUGGGGAGCAAACAGG